rnacentral:tRNA from 1 species
AGCAGCAUGGCGCAGUGGUAGCGCGCGGGGCCCAUAUAGGGCAUUCGUAUUAGAUAGAACCCCGAGGUCACUUGAUCGAAACAAGUUGCUGCUA